ensembl:lncRNA
CUCGUCAGGCACUCUUCUUGGCUGCUGUGGUUAUUAUUAUAUUUACAUGCUUCCAGCUCCCGUUUUUGCUCGAUGACAGCUCGGACUUUUCCUUUCUCUCCCUCCCUCGCUCACAGACACAUAACGGUGUCGAGGGUCGUUCCCACCAGUGAUGCGAAUAUUGAUGAGGUGUCGUCAGGAUGGGACUGAGGACACAACCCUGUGGAACGCCAAUGUUAGUACCAAUGCUGGCUGAAGACCUGAGGCCGAUCCUGACGGACUGGGGCCUGCCAGUCAAAAAGUCCCAUAGCCAGUCACAUAGGGUGGCGUGUAGGCUGAGUGUUGCCAGCUUGGUCUGCAAGGUCUGGAGGGUCUCGAAGCGGGUGUAGAAUCGACUGAGGUCAUCCAGCAGACUGCCUGCAGAGCUGGUGGUGCUGAUGGCGGCCCUGUACUCUGUGCUGUGCUGUAAGCCUUGCCACAUCUGCCUGGGGUCAGCAGAAGAGUAGAAGUCAUCCAGCUUCUCUUUAUACUGCCUCUUAGCUGCUGUAAUAGCUUUCCUCAGUCCAGCUGCGUACUCGGUCUCAUUGCCUGAUGUAAAUGCAAGAGACCGAGUACGCAGCAUGUGUCAUACCUGACUGUUGAUCCAGGGUCUGGUUGGGGAAAGACUGCAGCAGUGCAGGAGUUGGGUUAUUGGUCUUUAAUAAAGUCCCACAGAAGAGUUGUUUGCAGCAAAGUGCUUGCCAGGCGGUGCAGCAAUAACUGAACUCAUUGUUUUAUCGUUUACGUGACAUAGAUAACUAUGAUCACAAUACAGUAACUCCAUCUUCUCCACACAACAAUAUCUCACAAUGUCCACAAGGGGUCGCUGUAGACCGUAGAUAAGCUUUUUAACACGUGUCUUACAAGUUGCUCAUAUUAAGGCACAAAUACGGUAAAACUAUCAGCAGUUAAACUAAACAGUCGAACAGUCCUUUAACUAAUACAGCUGGAUGUUAUUAUUGUGGGGAUUAUGGCCACUGCUAUUAGAGCUAAAUAUCUUACCAACACAGUCUCAAAGUACUGAGACAUUUAAUCUUAACAUGCACGAACAAUUAUAACCAGAAUCAUUAUAAUUAACCUGACAAAGAAAUAACAACUCAGUCACACCAUGAAGUGAAAUAUGUGAAGUCCAGAAACGACUGAUUGGAUAUAUGAUUAUAAAAACAGCUGUAGUGCACAUAUACUUUCUGCUUUUCUGUUCUGGAUAGUCUUGAGGGACCUGAGGAGACACUAAUUAUGUGUUUUGGACCUCUGACAUUUAACAAGAGGAUUUUUUUUGCUCCAGUUUCUGAAACAUGUUGAUGUUUAUUUAAUUCAUACAUAAUUCACCUACUUGCUGCAUACAAUUCUACUACUGCACAUAAUGUCCCCAUGUAUAUAUUCUUAAUGUAAAUAAUGUUCUUCUCUCCCUCUUUUGCACAGUCGAGAAGCGUGUCAGGAUACAUUUCACUGC